CAUGCUAGUGGUAAUGAAGCGAAAGCUAAGUGACCGCAAGGAGCUAGCACAGGUGCUGCAUGGCUGUCGUCAGCUCGUGUCGUGAGAUGUUCGGUUAAGUCCGCUAACGAGCGCAACCCUCGCUGUGUGUUACAAGUGUCACACAGGACCGCCGGUCUUAAGCCGGAGGAAGGUGGGGAUGACGUCAAGUCAGCAUGGCCUUUAUGUCCAGGGCUACACACACGCUACAAUGGUCAGCACAAUAGGUAGCCAAGCCGCGAGGUGGAGCCAAUCCUCAAAGCUGGCCUCAGUUCAGAUCGCAGGCUGCAACCCGCCUGCGUGAAGCCGGAGUUGCUAGUAACCGCAGGUCAGCUAUACUGCGGUGAAUACGUUCCCGGGGCUU
rnacentral:rRNA from 1 species